UGAUGAAGGCCUUCGGGUCGUAAAACCCUUUUCUGGGGGAAGAGUAAGGACGGUACCCCAGGAAUAAGCCUCGGCUAACUAUGUGCCAGCAGCCGCGGUAAUACAUAGGAGGCAAGCGUUAUCCGGAUUUACUGGGCGUAAAGAGCGUUGAGGCGGCUUCGUAAGUUGGACGUGAAAGCUCCCGGCUUAACUGGGAGAGCCGUUCAAUACUGCGGGGCUGAGGGCAGCAGAGGGGGGUGGAAUUUCCGGUGUAGUGGUGAAAUGCGUAGAUAUCGGAAGGAACACCAGUGGCUGAGGCGGCCCCCUGGGCUGCUCCUGACGCUGAAGGCGAAAGCUAGGGGAGCGAACGGGAUUAGAAACCCCGGUAGUCCUAGCCGUAAACGAUGGAUACUAGGUGUAGGAGGUUAAAAUCCUUCUGUGCCGGAGCUAACGCGUUAAGUAUCCCGCCUGGGGAGUACGGUCGCAAGGCUAAAUCUCAAAGGAAUUGACGGGGGCCCGCACAAGCAGCGGAGCGUGUGGUUUAAUUCGAUGCAACACGAAGAACCUUACCAGGGCUUGACAUGUAGGUAGUAGUGAAGCGAAAGCGGAACGAUCCUUCGGGAAGCCUACACAGGUGCUGCAUGGCUGUCGUCAGCUCGUGCCGUGAGGUGUUAGGUUAAGUCCUGUAACGAGNCAACCCCUGCCGUUAGUUACAAGUGUCUAACGGGACUGCCCGGCAAAACUGGGAGGAAGGUGGGAUGACGUCAAGUCAGCAUGGCCUUUAUGUCCUGGGCUACACACACGCUACAAUGGCCGGUACAAUGGGUUGCCAAGCCGCGAGCGGAGCCAAUCCUCUAAAGCCGGUCUCAGUUCGGAUUGUAGGCUGCAACCCGCCUGC
rnacentral:rRNA from 1 species